GACAGAGGGUGCGAACGUUGUUCGGAAUUACUGGGCGUAAAGCGCAUGUAGGCGGCAACGCAAGUCGGGCGUGAAAUCCCACGGCUCAACCGUGGAAGUGCACUCGAAACUGCGUAGCUAGAGUCCUGGAGAGGAAGGUGGAAUGCUUGGUGUAGAGGUGAAAUUCGUAGAUAUCAAGCGGAACACCGGUGGCGAAGGCGGCCUUCUGGACAGUGACGUGACGCUGAGAUGCGAAAGCGUGGGGAGCCAAACAGG
rnacentral:rRNA from 1 species